rnacentral:tRNA from 1 species
AUCAGAGUGGCGCAGCGGAAGCGUGGUGGGCCCAUAACCUUACAGGUCCCAGGAUCGAAACCUGGCUCUGAUA